CCUACGGGGCGCAGCAGUCGGGAAUAUUGCGCAAUGGAGGAAACUCUGACGCAGUGACGCCGCGUAUAGGAAGAAGGUUUUCGGAUUGUAAACUAUUGUCGUGAGGGAAGAAAUUGACAGUACCUCAGGAGGAAGCUCCGGCUAACUAUGUGCCAGCAGCCGCGGUAAUAUAUAGGGAGCAAGCGUUAUCCGGAUUUAUUGGGUUUAAAGGGUGCGUAGGCGGGACGGUAAGUCAGCGGUAAAAAUGCGGAGCUCAACUCCGUCGAGCCGUUGAAACUGCCGUUCUUGAGUGAGCGAGAAGUAUG
rnacentral:rRNA from 1 species